ensembl:misc_RNA
UUGACAACUCUGGAAGCUGGAGCGCUUUCUUAUUCCCGUACCAAAUACAGCAGGAGCAGUGGCAGUCAAAGCCUCUCGUGCUUUCCUUCCAGAUGGUUCCAUCCUAUUGUUCUGGCACUUGCCUCCAAGGAUGAGAAGGUAGUUAGGUUCCACAGCCUGUUCAGUCUUUAGUCUCU